CCGUGACUUCCCUCCCCUCCUCUGCCCCACCUCGUGUUUCCCCUGCUCUGGGACAUCCGUGACCUCACGGCUCCCUCCGAAGGAACCGGUCAGGAGGCACCCGGGAAGGCGGCACUUGUUUGGUGGAGGUGGCAAGGCUGCUGGAAAUCCCAUUUUAAACCCCUGGAUUGACACAAUGUCACUUUGUGCCGCUGCGCUGUUGCCCCAGGAGGAUUUUGGCCGGCUCUGCCUGCAGGGAUGCUGGAGAAAGGAGCAAUGGGAAAAGGGAAUUCCUGGCACAAAUCUGUGGCUCUGCAGGGAGGGCAGAACUUGCCGAGGGGUUGGGGACAUCAGCAGCCCCCAGGGGACACAAUUCGGGUUUCCCCUGUCCCCUUGCAGAUCUGGAUUAUUCCAGCUUUGUGCCCCCCCAGGUGUGUGAUAACCACUGACAUCACAUUUAUCCACAUCUAUCUUAUGAUUUCUGAUUUCCAAAUAGGAUUUUUGGCAGAUCGUCUUCUGGCCCUCCUUUGCAACUGCUCAAAAUUUGGUGUGGACAGCAAUUACUGUCGAAAUAAAUGGAAUUUAAUGGGAUAAUUAUGGUUUAAAACCUGUGUGUGCUCGAGUGAAGUGGACAAAUUGAUUAUUUAUAAACACAUUGUGUGUUUAAUUCCUGAUUUAUGAUCUGUUUCCAUGAAACUUUCAGGGGCAGGGAAUUGCAUGGCACAGUGGAUAUUUGGUUGAUAAAAGCUGUGGCUUUUAUAUUCAUCAUCAUUAAUCAAUUUUACUGGAAAACAGAGCUGCAGGUCAUGAAUUUAAAGCAACUGGGUUGAAAAAUAAAACUCUUGCUGGAUUAAAAAAUCCAGGUUAAGAAAGAUGUGUUGGAAAAGUAAGUUUGGUUUGAAAGUUGUGCCUUCAGUUCCACACACCCAAACCUGAGGGUGAAAUAACUCCGGGGAAAAUCUGAUUCCAGAGGGAAAAGCCCAUCCCUGAGCAUGGAAAACAGGACUCCAGAGAUUUUUGUGCCAUCUGCUGUCAAGUGAAUGAAUUUCAGCCUCAGAAAAAGAGAAAUGCAGCUCAGAAUUCCACCACACUCCAGAGGAAAUCUGGAAUAGGAAGGGUGCUUGGCAUCUUUAUUAAAUCACCUACGAGAUAUUUUUGUCUGACUUCUGAGAAUUCCAUUUAAUGUGAGAAGCAAAUUAAAAUGCAGUGGUUGUUUUAACAGUUGUUAGCACUCAAAACUGAGAUUAAAAACAACCACCCACCCCCCCUGCCUGCCCCACUCCCAAAAUAAAAAAAUACAGAUGUCACGGGUAAUUACAGCUAUUUUUGGCAAUACAAUUAUUGGGAUUUUUUUUAAACAGCAAACAUUUUUUUUUUUCUUCUCAAAUAAAUACAAUCUGCUCACACUAAAUAAAAAACAAAAACCAUUAUAAACAGAAUGAUACAACAGGUUGAAAAUGAAACAACAACAACAACAAAAAAGGAGCUGUUGAUAACAUCAAAUGUGAAGAGAUGUCAUGGAGAGAAAGAAAAUACAUUUCAUACGUUCAGAAAAUACAUUUUAAUGGGACACAAUAAAGGAACUGGCUGAGUAUUUUCUGUUGUGGGUCAUGAAGAUUCCCUGGGGAGCAAAUUUGAGGAAGUGAGGAGCAGCAAGAAGUGAUUUAGCAGCCAAUCCCAGCCACCCUUAAUGACAUUUCUUUUGUUCAUUCAUCUCCAUCCCAAGCACUCCUAUUUAUGACUUCAAAAUCGUUUCCUCUGUGCCUCUUUUUAAAGAAACAAACCCAAACCACAAACCCAAGCCGUUAUUUAGGGAUAAAAAUCACAAAUCUCAUUAAAUUAACUAGAAUUUAAUAGCAGAAGGAGGUUCCUGGCCUCAGCCAGCUUCUGGCUGAAACUGCUCAGUCCGAGUGAAAAGGGAAAUACCAAUUUUUUACUGAAGUUAUCACGGUCUGGAUCCUCAUUUUGCAUAAAAAGGCAAAGCUCUGUCGAUUUGAGUGUAAUGCUAAUUUAAUUCUUGUCUUUUUCUAAGCCAUACAUUGCGAAUGAUGAAAAUGAACCAUUUAUUCUUGGCAGGUUUGCAGCUUUUUGCCUUAAUUGUGGAGAGAAGGAAAAACCUGGGAAGAGCUGUUAGAAUAAAACUUGGGGUCUGCCACAGCUCACAGUGAAGGAAAAGAUUUUGGAGAGAUCAAGUUUAAUGUUCUGGGUCAAAACACUGGAGAGACAUUAAAUCCACAGGAAUGAGCAGCAGUGGGGUGAAAUUCUUUUGUUUUCUUAACCUCUCAAUUACAAAUUUAAAUGGAACAACUUUUUUCUCUUUUCUUCCCCCCCCAAAAGCCUUUUCAACACGAGACUGCUUAACACAAAACCCCCAAGAAAACUGAAAAUUCUGAGGAAAAUAAGAUUUUUCUCCCUGUGAUUCUUGACACUGAAUUCGAGACAAUACUACAAUUGUCAAAAUAUUUCCCAAACAUCCAAAAAUAUAUAUAUAUAUAUUUAAAGAAGAGUAUUUUAAUAUCUACCUCCUCAACCAGAACAUUUUUUUCUCUAUUACUAUAUCAAAGAGCAGCUGACACCACUCAAAUUGUGCACUCAGCUUUUUCCCCCUCUCUGUUUCAUGUUUCAUGUGUUUAACUCCAGCAGGAUCUGAGCAGCCUCCACUCUUUCUACAGGCAACAAAUAUUAGACUAUAACAAUAUUUCUUGCCUCAAUUUGCACCUUGCUGGCAUGAAACAAAAAAUCUGGAGAAUUCACACGCCUCAGCAACCAAAAUUUUUGUGUGUGUUUGAUUGUCAAAUAUUUAAUUUUUUUUAAUUUUUUUUUUUUUUUCAUGGAGGAAAACAAGCCAGAAAUGCUCUUCAGAAUGUCUGUACACAGCCAAAAAA